UACAGAGGUCCCAAGCGUUGUUCGGAUUCAUUGGGCGUAAAGAGCACGCAGGCGGUUUGGCAAGUCGGAUGUGAAAACCCGAAGCUCAACUUCGGGCCUGCAUCCGAAACUGCCCGACUAGAGGUAGGUAGGGGAGAUCGGAAUUCCUGGUGUAGCGGUGAAAUGCGCAGAUAUCAGGAGGAACACCGGUGGCGAAGGCGGAUCUCUGGGCCUUACCUGACGCUCAGGUGCGAAAGCUAGGGGAGCGAACGGG
rnacentral:rRNA from 1 species